rnacentral:rRNA from 1 species
GAACUUAAGCAUAUCAAUAAGCGGAGGAAAAGAAACCAACAGGGAUUGCCUCAGUAACGGCGAGUGAAGCGGCAACAGCUCAAAUUUGAAAUCUGGCCGCAAGGUCCGAGUUGUAAUUUGUAGAGGAUGCUUUUGGCGAGGUGCCUUCCGAGUUCCCUGGAACGGGACGCCAUAGAGGGUGAGAGCCCCGUACGGUAGGACCACCAAGCCUCUGUAAAGCUCCUUCGACGAGUCGAGUAGUUUGGGAAUGCUGCUCUAAAUGGGAGGUGUACGUCUUCUAAAGCUAAAUACCGGCCAGAGACCGAUAGCGCACAAGUAGAGUGAUCGAAAGAUGAAAAGCACUUUGAAAAGAGGGUUAAAAAGUACGUGAAAUUGUUGAAAGGGAAGCAUUCAUGACCAGACUUGGGCUUGGUUGAACAUCCGGCGUUCUCGCCGGUGCACUCUGCCAGUCCAGGCCAGCAUCAGUUUGCCCCGGGGGAUAAAGGCGGCGGGAAUGUGGCUCCCUUCGGGGAGUGUUAUAGCCCGUCGUGUAAUGCCCUGGGGCGGACUGAGGAACGCGCUUCGGCACGGAUGCUGGCGUAAUGGUCAUCAAUGACCCGUCUUGAAACACGGACCAAGGAGUCGUCUUCGUAUGCGAGUGUUCGGGUGUCAAACCCCUACGCGUAAUGAAAGUGAACGUAGGUGAGAGCUUCGGCGCAUCGCCGACCGAUCCUGAUGUUCUCGGAUGGAUUUGAGUAAGAGCAUACGGGGCCGGACCCGAAA